CGGGUGCGUAAUGCAUGGGAAUCUGCCUAGUAGUGGGGGACAACGUGUGGAAACGCACGCUAAUACCGCAUACGCUCUACGGAGGAAAGCGGGGGAUCUUCGGACCUCGUGCUACUAGAUGGGCCUAUAUUGGAUUAGCUAGUUGGUAAGGUAAAGGCUUACCAAGGCGACGAUCCAUAGCUGGUUUGAGAGAAUGAUCAGCCACACUGGGACUGAGACACGGCCCAG
rnacentral:rRNA from 1 species